ACGCCUUGUGCCUCGCUCGGUUUAACCUUUCAUGGUUAGAUCUUGAGCUGGAUAUUUCUUGAAUUAUUUUUACAAUAUUCAAGAAGUAAUGGGCAAUAGAAAUCUCUUUUAUUCUAUGAAAGGGAAAAAGAUUUCCUUUGAGUGCGAUGACACCAAGGUUUCUAUUGAGACUGGAUGGUGGCAUUGUAAUUAUAAAUCUUUACAUUU
rnacentral:snoRNA from 1 species